rnacentral:rRNA from 1 species
CUACGUGCCAGCAGCCGCGGUAAUACGGAAGGUUCGGGCGUUAUCCGGAUUUAUUGGGUUUAAAGGGAGCGUAGGCCGGAGAUUAAGUGUGUUGUGAAAUGUAGACGCUCAACGUCUGACUUGCAGCGCAUACUGGUUUCCUUGAGUACGCACAACGUUGGCGGAAUUCGUCGUGUAGCGGUGAAAUGCUUAGAUAUGACGAAGAACCCCGAUUGCGAAGGCAGCCGGCGGGAGCGCAACUGACGCUGAAGCUCGAAGGUGCGGGUAUCGAACAGGAUUAGAUACCCUGGUAGUCCGCACGGUAAACGAUGGAUGCCCGCUGUCGGCGCCUUGCGCCGGCGGCCAAGCGAAAGCGUUAAGCAUCCCACCUGGGGAGUACGCCGGCAACGGUGAAACUCAAAGGAAUUGACGGGGGCCCGCACAAGCGGAGGAACAUGUGGUUUAAUUCGAUGAUACGCGAGGAACCUUACCCGGGCUUGAACUAACGGUGACGAAUCUAGAGAUAG